CCAUUAAUAUAUACAUAAGAGUAUGUAUACAAUCGUAAAAGUAUAAUACUCAGUCUGUUAGGACGCGAAAACAUAAAUAGAAAUGUUUAUUGCUUAUCUGCUUGUGUGAAGAAUGAAUGAAGUGGAGGAGUAUGAUGAGAUGGAGGUAUGUUUGAUAGUUGUGUAUAUAUUGAGCAGACGACAGAAAUAGCGGGUUUUCCCAGAAAAAACCCUAACCUAAAAAGAGGGGUAUGUAACGGUUUAUCGUUAUCUCUAACAAAAAUCCUAUUAAAUAAAAAUAAAUAAUUAACCAAAAUAUAACUAUAAACUACUAUAAUACAUUUUUACAUACAUUCUUCUAAAUAAAAUAUUCAAGAACUUAAAAAAUAAAAAACAAUGUAAAAUAAAUAUACGUACAAACAGAAUUGACGAUUGCAUUUGUUAUUAGUUAAAACUAGAUGCGAAUACAAAAGACUACGUCACCGCUCCAGAUAAGCGAUAGGCGCUGGUCAACGUAUGAGGCGCAUUCGCGCUGGCAUUCCCUACCACGGCUCCGACAGCGAAAGGUCAAGUUACCUAAAACUCUCAUAACGUCAGACGACAUGGAGUGACAAAUUUAUUUUAAUUUUUACUACAAUUAAAUGUGUUAAGUGCCAGUUUUUCCCCAAAUAGGGGAACAAGUCUGGGGUCGUUAACUGGACCCACAAUUUGGAUGCGCGCGCGCCUGCACACGUUCCGGAAGGUUCCGGAAGGAAGACUGGCGAUCCGGAACGGCCUCUGAUGACGGCCACGCCCAGUACGACUUCGGCGGCGUAGUGCAGGGAAGUGACCCCUAACAAGGGCUUGUUUCUUCUUUUAUUGUAACCGGCCAGCUCAGGAAAUACCUACCCACGAUCCUGGAUAAAUAGAUAGGUUUUUUUAUUUAAAAUAUAGUUUGUAAAAUUUUUC